UGUUUACUAUUACAAACCUGCUUCAAGACUCAGAGCACCACCACAUAUUCUGAAAAAGAAUAUCUUUACCUGAAUUCUUGGUGUUGUUGGGCAGAGAAGGAAAAUAUAACAGAUACAUUCUGAAAACAGCUUGGAGGAGUCCAGAGCUGCUGGCUGGCCUAUGGAGCAGAUCCAGUUGAUCUUUCUGCUGAACAAGGUGAUCCACCCAGACCUAGCAGCUGUGACUUGCUGUGAUUCACACGCAGAGGAAUGUGGUGAUAAAUGGGAUUUUUCAAGUCAGAAA